AAGAAAGGUUGUUGGUGAUAGAUUGUUAGGUUCGUAUGAAUCGUUGCGAGGGCAGAAUAUAAUGAGUUCGCAAGGCAAAAACAGCCUCGGAAGCUGUGAUAGUGACGAGAAGAAAUAUGAGCUGGUGCCUCCUGAGGGUGGAUGGGGGUACGCGGUGUGCGUUGGACUUUCCGUUAUUUUUAUUGCCGGCACUGCACAUCAACCCGUUUUCGGAUUUAUUUACAAUGAUUUUUUGGACGAACUCGGCGUUGGUACUGGCGCAGUUACCGUCGUUUAUGGAGUAUUUCAAGUCACCCUUGCUAUAGCUGGGUUCUCAUCGAAUAUAGUUUUAAAAAAACUAUCUCUGCGACAAGUAGGUUUGAUUGGCGCGUUCAUAUAUACGCUAGCAUCAUUCCUUGCUAUAUUUGUAACAACUACAACACAGUUGAUCAUCACUAAUGGAUUUCUACAAGGUUUGGGAAUGGGAUUACUCAUUCCCGUAUCCUACACGAGUUUCAACAGUUACUUCACAAGGAAAAAAGUGCUUUAUUUAAGUUUGUGUAAGGCUUCAAUUGGAAUGAUCACGAUGGUGUACCCAUUGUUCAUCAAGUUUACUAUAACGGAGUAUGGGUUCAGAGGGACUUUAGCGAUUCUUUGUGCCAUUUCUGCGCAUAGUAUAUUUGGUGCUCUCGUAAUGCACCCUGUACAAUGGCAUAUGGUGAAGCGAAUAAAGUCCUGUGAAAAAAUUGUUCUUAUACCACCAACACCAGCAUGUGAUGGAGACAACGACAAAUUUGACUUUUUGAAAAGCAAUAUCACAAAGCAGGAAACAAAAUCAGUUCAAAAUCUGUACACGAAAAACUGUACAGAUUGCCACAAAGAAUCUGGCCUUCUAUUCAUUCCUAAGCUAACUGAUUCAAGAAGACUGAGUAUUCCUGUUGUGUUAAUACCAAGUGAAAAUAGCAGUAGUAAAUUCAAUUCCCACGACAAUGUGUAUAUGGAGAACUUGUAUAAAGCAGCUUCGGUGUCUAGUUUAGGAAAUUUUGGCAGCAUCGCUGUGGAACCGAUGCCUAUUAUCAAGAAUAAGGAAGGCAAAUGGCAAACAGUAGCUGAAUAUUUAGAUUUAACCCUGUUGAAGGACUUGGUGUACGACAAUAUCAUAUUUGGAAUGGCAAUGACCUUCUUUGCUGAUCUCACAUUUUUCACUUUGGAGCCAUUGUUUCUGGAUAAAAAUCAUCUCAGUAAGGCGGAGAUAGCGAACAUUAUAGCUGUGGGGGGCGCUACAGACAUGUCGGCGAGGCUGCUGUUGGGCGUGUCGGGGCAAUUCUUCCGAAUGAACAGCCGCUACAUGUUCUACGCGGGCGCUCUAUUUGCUGCUUUAUUUAGACUAGUGUUUAUCCAAUUCACAACGUACAUCCCUCUACUAAUUCUGACGGGAAUCCUGGGAGCGUUACGUUCCCUCGUACACAUAGCACAGCCGAUAGUAAUGGCCGACCAUGUCCCCAUCGAGCGGUACCCGCCCGCUUAUGGAUUAUACAUGUUGCUGGCCGGAGCACUUAGCUUGAGUGUCGGACCUAUGAUUGGUUUCAUACGAGAUUAUACAGGAAGCUACGCAAUCGCGUUUGUACUGUUGGCGGUCUGCAACUUAUGCUGUGUGGUUCCGUGGACUUUCGAGGCGAUUAUACUAUUCAUAAAGCGUAGACAGCGUAGCCCACAAACGUGAUAUUUUUAUUUGUUAUUUAAGGGACAAAUCAAGGCUGAACUUUUGAUAGGUCUUAACGCGCAUAAGUAGACAUCGAUUUCAAUGAAAUCACCCAAAGAAAAGAAAUACGAUUUAAGUCAUAUCCAUACUAAUCCAUACUAAGUA